GACGAACGCUGGCGGCGUGCCUAAUACAUGCAAGUCGAACGCAUUUUCUUUCACCGUAGCUUGCUACACCGAAAGAAAAUGAGUGGCGAACGGGUGAGUAACACGUGGGUAACCUGCCCAUCAGCGGGGGAUAACACUUGGAAACAGGUGCUAAUACCGCAUAAUUCCAUUUACCGCAUGGUAAAUGGAUGAAAGGCGCUUUUGCGCCACUGAUGGAUGGACCCGCGGUGCAUUAGCUAGUUGGUGGGGUAACGGCCUACCAAGGCUGCGAUGCAUAGCCGACCUGAGAGGGUGAUCGGCCACACUGGGACUGAGACACGGCCCAGACUCCUACGGGAGGCAGCAGUAGGGAAUCUUCGGCUAUGGACGCAAGUCUGACCGAGCAACGCCGCGUGAUUGAAGAAGGUUUUCGGAUCGUAAAACUCUGUUGUUAGAGAAGAACAAGGAUGAGAGUGGAAAGUUCAUCCCUUGACGGUAUCUAACCAGAAAGCCACGGCUAACUACGUG
rnacentral:rRNA from 1 species